CUCUAUUGCUGAACCACCUCAACAUCCACCUCCACCUACUCCACCUUUGAAGGAAAAAGUUGUUCCCCAAACCAGAGUACCACCACCCCUGCCUCCACCUCUUCCUGGGCAGGGGAACUCCUCACUCAGGGGUGGACCCUCUCCACCUCCACCCCCUCCUUUGCCUGCAGCACAAGCUUCUAAGCCUGCGAAUAUAUCUGCAAUGCCAUCACCUCAACCUCCACCUCCGCCUACUCCGCCUUUGAAGGAAAAAGUUGCUCCCCAACCCGGAGUACCACCUCCCCCGCCUCCCCCUCUUCCCGGGCAACCUAUGAAGGAGAACUCCUCACUCAGAAGUGGACCCUCUCCACCUCCACCCCCUCCUUUGCCUGCUGCACAAGCUUCUAAGCCUGUGAAUACAUCUGAAAAGCCACCGCCGCUUCCUCCUCCUGCGUUGGGUUCUCCCCAGAGUGUUCCUUCCGCUCCCCCUCCUCCGGUCCCUUCUCUUGAGCCAGAU
rnacentral:lncRNA from 1 species